UACGUAGGGUGCAAGCGUUGUCCGGAAUUAUUGGGCGUAAAGAGCUCGUAGGCGGUCUGUUGCGUCGGCUGUGAAAACCCGGGGCUCAACUCCGGGCCUGCAGCGGAUACGGGCAGACUAGAGUUCGGACGGGGAGACUGGAAUUCCUGGUGUAGCGGUGAAAUGCGCAGAUAUCAGGAGGAACACCGAUGGCGAAGGCAGGUCUCUGGGCAUUAACUGACGCUGAGGAGCGAAAGCAUGGGGAGCGAACAGG
rnacentral:rRNA from 1 species